rnacentral:lncRNA from 1 species
GGCUGUACGGUGGUUGGAGGAGCCGACCGACCCAAAGUCGGUAGCCAGCUGAGUGGUGUCGGGCCCCUCCAUUGGUCGGCUAGCAUCAUGUAAGUCGGCCAUCAGACCCCCGGGUUCAGUCGGUCGGGAUGGUUACGCCCGACAUACCCCCGGCCGGCGAUGGGCCGUAGAAUGGCCGGUAGUUAACCGCUGAUGGCAUCCGUCAGUCGGUCGCCCCGACCGACUAUCGGUCGGUCUAUCGGCCAGUCGGAGUCGCCCGUCGGAGGCGGUUGGGCCGUCAGUCGGUCGGUCGGGCCACCGACGGUCGGUCGGUCGG